CCUACGGGGCGCAGCAGUGAGGAAUAUUGGUCAAUGGACGCGAGUCUGAACCAGCCAAGUAGCGUGCAGGAUGACUGCCCUAUGAGUUGUAAACUUCUUUUAUACGGGAAUAAAACCAGGCACGUGUGCCUGUUUGCAUGUACUGUAUGAAUAAGGAUCGGCUAACUCCGUGCCAGCAGCCGCGGUAAUACGGAGGAUCCGAGCGUUAUCCGGAUUUAUUGGGUUUAAAGGGUGCGUAGAUGGGUUGUUAAGUUAGGUGUGAAAGUUUGCGGCUCAACCGCAAAAUUGCAAUUGAUACUGGCAGUCUUGAGUACAGUUGAGGUAGGCGGAAUUCGUGGUGUAGCGGUGAAAUGCUUAGAGAUCACGAAGAACCCCGAUUGCGAAGGCAGCUUACUAAACUGUGACUGACAUUGAUGCUCGAAAGUGUGGGUAUCAAACAGGAUUAGAUACCCUAGUAGUC
rnacentral:rRNA from 1 species